rnacentral:rRNA from 1 species
ACGCGAAGAACUUACCUGGCCUUGACAUCCAUGGAAUUUUGCAGAGAUGCAGAAGUGCCUCCGGGAACCAUGAGACAGGUGCUGCAUGGCUGUCGUCAGCUCGUGUCGUGAGAUGUUGGGUUAAGUCCCGCAACGAGCGCAACCCUUGUCCUUAGUUGCCAUCAUUCAGUUGGGAACUCUAAGGAGACCGCCGGUGACAAACCGGAGGAAGGUGGGGAUGACGUCAAGUCAUCAUGGCCUUUAUGGCCAGGGCUACACACGUGCUACAAUGGCAGGUACAGAGGGAAGCCAACGCGCGAGCGGGAGCCAAUCCCAGAAAGCCUGUCGUAGUCCGGAUCGGAGUCUGCAACUCGACUCUGUGAAGUUGGAAUCGCUAGUAAUCGCAGAUCAGCAUUGCUGCGGUGAAUACGUUCCCGGGUCUUGUACACACCG